rnacentral:rRNA from 1 species
UACAGAGGUCCCAAGCGUUACUGAGAAUCACUGGGUUUAAAGGGCGCGUAGGCGGCCCGGUAAGCGUGUGGUGAAAGCCCGGGGCUCAACCCCGGGUCGGCCGUGCGAACUGCUGGGCUGGAGCACUGUAGGGGCGGGUGGAAUUCCGGGUGUAGCGGUGGAAUGCGCAGAUAUCAGGAGGAACACCAAAGGCGAAGGCAGUGUCCUGGGGAGUACCUGACGCUCAGGUGCGAAAGCCAGGGGAGCGAACGGG